ensembl:snoRNA
CCUGCCCCUGUAGAGACAUAAAUGCGACUGCCGUGUCGUUUUUAUGCCAGAAGGAGGCGGACAGGAAAUGUCAGGCUGCCCGAGCAUCUUCAUCCUUGAAGACUGGGUGACAGAUGAUGGGGGCAGCCCUACAUG